UACGUAGGGUGCAAGCGUUGUCCGGAUUUAUUGGGCGUAAAGAGCGUGUAGGCGGCCUGAAAGGUCAGCUGUGAAAACUCGAGGCUCAACCUCGAGACGUCGGUUGAAACCAUCUGGCUAGAGUCCGGAAGAGGAGUGUGGAAUUCCCGGUGUAGCGGUGAAAUGCGCAGAUAUCGGGAAGAACACCCGUGGCGAAGGCGGCACUCUGGGACGGUACUGACGCUGAGACGCGAAAAGCGUGGGGGAGCGAACAGGG
rnacentral:rRNA from 1 species